GUCGGUAGAACAUGCGACUCUUGAUCUCAUGAGUUCAAGCUCCACGUUGGAUGUAGAGAUUACUUAAAUAAGUCUUAGGGAAAAAAAGAAUCCAAAACUUAACUCCAAUUUGUCUCAGUGUAAACAAAGCUCCACUUGAAAAAUUGGUUUAUGAAACUCUCAGAAUCACUUUUCUUUUCUAUAAAUGUGUUGUAGGUUCUAGUAAUGAUGGAGUUACACGAUCUGAAUCACACCCUGCACAGUGGAGAGCAGAUUAUGUAUGAGGUUAAGAGAGGAGGGAGGGAGGCCAGAAGGAGGCUACUGCAAUAGUCCUGGUGAGUGUUGGUGAACCAGAGUAGUGGCUGUAGAGGUGGGAGAAGUGGUUGGUUUCUGGGUCCAUUUUAUGAUUUAUUGUUUAUUUAUUUAUUUCACACAAUUGGAAAGGAAGAAAGAGAGAGAAUGGGUCUAUUUUUAAAGAAAGACCAAGUAGACAUUUUGAUGAUGUAGGUGAGGGAGAAAAGGGAGGAGUCAGAAAAGACCUUAGGGUUUUUGGUCCUAGCAGCUGAAACAGUGGAAGCUCCAUCAACUAGGAUGAAGUUGGUGGAAGAUUAAUUUUUAUUGGGACUAUCAGGGGUUUUGUUUGGCUCUGUUAAGAGUCUAUGAUAUUUCAUAGAAUGCUAAGUGAGGUCACCAAGUGGGCAGUUGGACACACAGGACUAAAAAUAUGGGGAGCAGUUCAAGAGGGAGACAUCCAAAAGUGGUGAACCUGAGUGGAGCUUUGGGUCACAUGUAGGAGGGGGAAAUUUAUGUUAUGGUGGUGAUGCUCUUUUUUUUAUGGUGGUGAUGCUCUUAAUAGGUUAGGAAGAUGGUACCCAGGAUUGGGCACCAUGGUUGAGUGUGGAGGGCACAAAGGUGAGGAGAGGAUGGUCUGGCAGGUGACCAAGGCUUCCCUGGGAUGAGUAGAUAUGAGACAGAUAUGAGGACAGAAUAGUAAUUGAGUCAAGAUGACACUGAAGGCAAGGCUCCUGCUUAUUCUUACUACUAUACCGAAUCAGCAUAAUUUUGUGAUGAGCUUUGGUGAGGUCUGGGAUUUUUCAGUCUUGCUGGUGGAUAAGAUCUGGAGCAAAGGUUGUCAUCUGUGAGAGAUACUAUGCCUGGCAUAGUAGUGCUGGGAUUUUAAUGGAAGUUUUGUAGAGAAUGGUGGGUAAUGGCUGCUGAGGGGAUACCAGUGCAGCACAGAAGUGCAAGAAAGCUAUGCGUGUCUCAAACUCACUUGUAGUUCUGGGUGGUUAAUAUUGAAGAAAGAUUCAGAGGCAGGCUAUGAGGCCUUCAAAGCAGCAUUUGGGACUUUUCCUGACUGUGGGAUCCAUCAGAGGUCUGGGGUUGUGCUGGAUCAUGUUUGAACUGGUCAAGCACUCUUUGGAUGCCAUGUGCCCGGUACCUGGGUGAGUCCAGGGAGAUACCUGUGAAGGGGGGCAGGGAGGUGGUGGUGACUAUAGUGUCUGGAGAUGUGAGAGUAUGGUCCACAGAAUGAUGUGCAUAUAGGGGGGAAGCGUGAUCUGAUGGCUCCAGGGCCUUGCUAUGGGGACUGAAGGUAGAGUUGUGAAGACAGGUUUGGUUGUAUCUGGGAGUCAUGAUCUUGGGGGCCCCAGGGUUAUUGCCUGGCAGGAGGGUUUGCACCCUGCAGGCCAGGCUCACUGCUUAGAUGGGGUCUAUCUCCCCACCUGCCUGUUGUUAGUGAGGUCUGAACAGUAUUAAUGUGACCAAGAGGAGAGCAUAGUCAUCAGUGGGACCAACGACUGGUAUCUAAUCUGAGAUGUGGAUCUCUGGAGGAAGAUGAGCUUGUAUUGUGGGACCUCAGAGAGGCUACUCCUGAAUUCAGCUGUCCCUAUAAUGACAGGCACUAUGACAUUUGGGGACAUGCUUUUGUAUUUGUGGGAGGAGUGGGGGUUCCUGGAUGAGUUCCAGAGAUUCCUGUACCACAAUGUGAAUCUGAAGAACUUUGCACUUAUAUGCUCAUAUCCUCACUGGGCAAGGCAUUCAUGCCCUCCCCAGUGCUCUGGUCUAAGCUUUGUAUCCCCACUCUCCAACCCUGCUUUCCCCAGAUGGUGCUCUGUCCUUCUCACAUCAGGACCAUGGACACUGUUUCUGUUCCCAGUUCCUGAGCAGGUGCUGUGGUUGAUAGGGCUGGACUGUUUGCACUGACCUCUUCCCUCCUCAUGCCCCAACAUCUGCCUCAUAGGGAAAUAUUCAGGGUCAGUACUCUUAUAGUGAGCCCAAGGAUCUCACUUGCUUGCCCUCUCCCUGGCCAGUGACUGUGUUUAGGUCCAUGGAACCUCUGUACCUUAGGUUUUACUCCCUUACUUUAACUGACAUUUCCUUGUGCAGGCUCGUGCCACGAAUUCCUUGCAUUCUCAUGGCCUCUACUUACCUGGACCAUGAGCUGUUUUUCAAGCCUCCUGCUCAGUUCCGUUUGUAGUGUGGAGAUCUCUUUUGUGGUCUGUUGUGUGCUGAAUUGCCCUGGCCCGGUAGUGACCACUCACCUGACAGUUUUUUCCUUCAGUGCUUGUAUCCUCCAUGUCCCAUGUAGUUGCUCAAGUAGGGCUUCAGAAGAGUCCUUUCUGCAUCACAGGAUGGAUAUGACCUUAGCCGUGACAGGGUGGGCUCAGAGGGGGUCUGCCCCUGGUGGAUGGCAGCUGGGGAGUGUGUGAUGUCUGGGCUAUGUUCAGAUCAUACCAGCAACCUGUCCUUUCCAACCAGGGUUUUGGUGCCAUUGCCAGUGGCCACACCCCAUUUCUAUUUUUCUGUUGUUGGUACUGUGCUGACUUGUUGAAGUCCAGGGGAAAUCUCGAAUAUCUCUGUAUUCCACAUCUUACCUAUCCCUCUCAACAAUCUUUCUUAAGUGCUCUGCCACACUGACCUGCCUAUGUUGUACCCCAAGGUGUACAGUAUCCUGACAUUGGCCUUGAACUCCCAGUCAUUUGUUGCAGUUGGAUUUUCCUGGGCUCUCACAUGCCUCUGCAUGGCCUUCAAUGUCACCAGCAGACAAGUUCCUGCUGAAAGCCUUUGGUGGAAGAAGAUGUACAUCUGCUUUGCUUCCCUGUGCCACACCCUGUCCCAUGUCCUCCUGGUGAAGCCUCUACUAUUCUGUGACCUUAUGGUUUCAGUAAUGCUCAGCAGCCACAUCUGCAACCAGAACCCCACUCCCAUUUCUCAAAAGCAUCCCCUGAAUUAUUCCUGGUUGCAAUUCAAUUGAGUAAUUCAACUGGAUGUGAUUCAUUGAGUCAGUGUAGACACAUUACUCCAAUAACGUCAACACAUAUUUCACUGUUACUUCUUUGCUUUAAGGUUCUUGGUGCAGAUCAGAGAACAAAGAGGUACCUUAUGAACAGAGUGUUUCUGUAGGAGUAGCACAGAUCAGGAUUUUCAAGGCAGGUCCCUUCAUCCAGAAGAUCCACCCCUGUGAUAUGUGUAUCCCUAUCUUGAAACACAUUUUACAGUUGUCUAAGCACCAUGGAAAGCAUCAUGGACAGAAACUGUUUACAAGAGAACAGCAUGUACCAAACAAUUUUAUUUUAGUGCAAACCCUUAGUGUCACCAGGAGCAGCAUUUUGGUGAAAAAUUUCAGAAGAAACAUGGAAAGGGCCUCAUGUGUGAAGAGAUGCAAGUUCCAUGUGUUAAGGAAGCCCUUUACCCGUGGGGAGGUUAGGAAGGACUUCCUGGCCACCUUGGACUAUGUUUAUAAGUAGGGCACUUAUACUAGGGAGAGAGCAAACAAAACCAUCAAGUGUGGGUUGGUAGAAAAAGUCAUUAAAACUGGGAAGAACGCAAGACAGCCUUCAGCUACACCGACACACUUGCUCAGAAUCAGGGUGUCUACACUAAAGAAAAUCCUUACAGUAUAGUGAAUAUAGGACAUCUUCUGGCGAUAGCCUCACCUUCAAUUAUCAAUGGAGAGUUCACACUAGAGAAAGACCACAGUUUGGAGGAAAUGUGAAAUUUCCUUGUUCAGUAUAACAAAAAUGGAUCAAAACCUCUGUGAGUAUCCAUCUGUCUGCUUUGAAUCUCAUACAUCUGAACCUCCAUAAAGGGAAGAUGCCCCAUAAAUUUCAUUUAUGUGGGAAGCAUAUGUGGCUAUGUUGCACUUUCUAACCAGCCCAGGGCUCUUUCCAGAUUCAUGUCACUGCCAGUUUCUGUGGCCAAAGCCACUUCAUCUCAACUACCUGGCAGGUUCCCCUCCGGGAAGCUGGCAUCUGUUCUGCCAUGUAUUGGAGAAAAGUAGUAGUAGCCUGAGCCCUUAGAAGGUCCAUAUCCCCUUCUCUCUGAUUAGUUGGCAUGGACCUCACCUAGUGUUGUCCCAGAGGAAAGCAAAUGAAUUCUACUGGCAGCUUGCCAAGAGCUACCUUUUUCAGGUACGUUUGUCUCACGCGAUACUUGCGAUUAAUUUUUCCCACUCCCAAGUCUCCAACUUGGGGACUGCCUAUCACAUAUUGCUUUGGUUUGUACCAUAAGAAAGACCUUAUUUUUAAAAUACUCUCUAAAUUUGGGGUUUCUAGCUACUAUGCAGUGGUUUAUGAUAGAUUUGGGCUUUGCAAGCAUUACAAUUUUUGUCGAUUCCCGAACUCUGUGUGCCUCUAAGGGAACAGUAUGGAGGAAAUGGCACCUCAGUGUUGGGCAAAUUUGCAUCGCUGCCCAUAGCCUCUUGGCAAAGAUUUGUUAUCCUAAUUCAUGGCUUGGACACCUGGGUGAUUAGUCUCCAGAUAUCCGCACAUGGCCUCCUUAAAGAAGGACCGCCCAACCUCUACCCUUGAACAAGGGCCUUCCAUUUCCCAGAGGCCCUCUCAGUAAAUCUUGGCCUUUUCUCCUGGAGUCAGGUGGAGAACCCUCUUUCCUAGGCCUUGGGAAUCUGUGGGAACUAAAUUUCCCAGAACGCCCAGCGUUAAAGACGGCAUCGCUGAGCCAACGAAGGCUUAGAAAAGAGGUGUUUCCGUUUGAGCACAAAGGGUUGGGGCGGGGCUUCCUGUGUCCAGUCUGUGGCCAUCGUUUUGGCUGUCGGCAGGUGUCUUCGCCUUGUGAGACGUUCCGGAGGGCCGGGCCGCGGCGAGAAAGGAGGCUUUGUCCCGCCGUACUGAGGCGAGUCUGGGGGCGGGGACCUCGUCGCCAGCGAGCCCGGCCUGGAGACUUCUGUGCCCGUGACCGUCGUGUUCACUCAGUUGUCAUCACUUCACUCCGCCCACAGUCCGAUGGCGGUGGCCGCGCCCAGGGACCCGGCUGAGGAAGGAGGUGAUGUUACCAAGGUCUUAGAAGACUUCAUCUGGCUUCAGAGUGGAAAACAGACUAUGAGCUUGAGGGAGCAAGAAGGACAAUCACUGUGGUGGCUACUGCUAUAGUCCAGACCUUGCCCUCCUUUGCAGAAAGAACAGAGUCCUCCUGCACAGCACAUAACCAGGACCCCGUCGCACAACUACCAAGCACCGAGACAACAUCUAUAACUGGCACCAUCGAGUUUGCCCGUGACCAAGAAAUGUUGCAGGUCACGGCACUCCCUUUGCUGAGUAGCUGUCCUAAACCCUUUUACCAACCCCUGGGCCAGGUAGAAACCUCAGAGUUGGCGUUUGGACAAGAGUCCUCUUCUCCCCAGGUUGCCGGCCUUGUAUAUAAAGCUCAAAUUCCUUUCCAAUUAAAACUGGUCUCUUGAGUAAUGAUCUUUCAGGCGACUGCCAGCCAAACUUGGGUUCAGUAACACUUUCUUUGUGCUGAUCCCAGAAAUUUGCUAUAGACAUAAAAUACAGAUGAAAUAAUGUGCACCCAGCUCCCCAGGACCAGUAAUAAAGUACACGGGGUGUGCAGUUUUGUAACUGAUCACAGAAAGUUUUCAAAGACUAUUCAUUCAUCGGGCUCUCCAGAGCAACAGAACCGAGAGAGAGAGAGAGAGAGAAACGUCAUAUUCAUUUUUUCCUCGGUAAUAUUGGCUUAAUGGAGACACGAGAGAGAAAGGAGAGAGAUUUUAAAGGAACUGGUUCACAAAAAUGUGGAGGCUGGAAAAGUCUAAGAUCUUAGAUCUUAGAUCUAAACUGGAGGUCCAGGGAAUAGUGGAUGUUCAGCGCUAGUCUGAAGCCAAUCUAGAGACAGAAUUUCCUCUGUCUGUGGAAUCCCUGACUGUGCCCUUCUCAUCUGAAAAUAUAUUGCAUAUUUUAGCUAUUUGUUUUGUUUGAAGUUUAUCUUUCCUGAUGGUAACAUUGGCUUAAUAGAGGCAGGUUCUUUGCCAGACAUUUUCUUCCUCCUACUUCUCAUAUACAAGAAUAAGGUGUGACACACAUUGCAUGCUUAACAUGUACCUAUUGAAGCAGUGAAUAAAAGUAUACCUACCUUGUCCCUGUU